rnacentral:snRNA from 1 species
UAUCCUUCUUGGCCUUUUGGCUAAGAUUGUCAUGUCUGUUCUUGUCUGUUUAAUAUCUGAUAGGUCUUUGCUGUGAGGACUUGCUAUUAAAUAGCUCUGUGGAGCUGGAUGACAGCCUGUGGGCUUGCUCUGUCACCAAAACUCUGCACCAAAAACCCCUUAGUGACCCACU